CUUUUUUGACAAAUUGAACUGUAAGUCUCACUAAAUAUCAAAUAUGUUAGUGCGACAGAGUCCUAAAUUGGGUACAUUAUAUUGCUUAUGACUGUACCACACCACUGACAUUCUAUAAACAAAUAGACUCACGUUCGCUAAGGAGUUUUUCUAAAAAAGCGUCCUAACCGUGUUCGAAUUACGUAUACAUUAAGUGAUGUAGAUAGUAUAAAUUCGUUCCCGCAAAUUAAGAUGUUAUGGCUGUUCAAAUAAAGUGCAAUGUCGGUUGUACAGUGUCGUUACACGCCGUCGCUUGUGACAAGAUGCUCCACGGACACAUUUUUACAGAAAUGGGUUGUCUAUAUGUUAUACGAGGUAUAUGUGCCACAGGGAGUAUAUAUCCUUUAUAUACAUAUAUAUCACAGAGCAAUAAGACGGGUAAUAGCCCCGAUUCCUGCAGACGCCUCCUAAUUUUAAGUUAUACUCGUCAUUUUCUUAUCCGCCGAAAAGGAAAGUGACGGAUGAUCGACAACUGUUAAUUUUAUUUUAAAAUGAAUGAGUGAAUGAAUGAAUAACCCGGGCGAAUAAAAUAAGCAUCUCGCUGAUAUUUUUUAAAUGUCUGCCUAAAAUUGACGUGUGUUAUAAAUUAUAAAUUUUAUGCCUGUCGGUUACCCGACCCUUUCUUUUUCAGCGGAUAAGAAAAUUACAGGUAUAACUUAAAAUAAAAUUAGAUGGUGUGUACAGGAAUUAGCACCAUUGAUCUAUUAAUAAAGUAAGACACUAAUUCCUAUGCUGAUAAUAAGUAAAUUGUGAUGAAAGUAUUAUAUUUAUAGACAUGUUUAAGUCAUAAUAUUUUGCUGUUAAAUUAAAGCUAAAAAGUUGAUUAAAUAAAUCUUUUCGAGAUAUAAUGAUUUAACGGA